rnacentral:rRNA from 1 species
UACGUAGGGACCAAGCGUUGUUCGGAUUGACUGGGCGUAAAGGGCGCGUAGGCGGAUGGUACAGUCAGACGUGAAAUUCCUGGGCUCAACCUGGGGGCUGCGUUUGAUACGUGCUGUCUGGAGUUCGGAAGAGGGUCGUGGAAUUCCCAGUGUAGAGGUGAAAUUCGUAGAUAUUGGGAAGAACACCGAUGGCGAAGGCGGCGACCUGGUCCGAUACUGACGCUGAGGCGCGAAAGCGUGGGGAGCAAACAGG